rnacentral:rRNA from 1 species
AUACGAAGGGGGCAAGCGUUGUUCGGAAUAACUGGGCGUAAAGCGCACGAAGGCGGAAUGUUAAGUUAGAGGUGAAAUCCCAGGGCUCAACCCUGGAACGGCCUUUAAUACUGGCAAUCUAGAGACCGAGAGAGGUGAGUGGAAUUCCGAGUGUAGAGGUGAAAUUCGUAGAUAUUCGGAGGAACACCAGUGGCGAAGGCGGCUCACUGGCUCGGUACUGACGCUGAGGUGCGAAAGCGUGGGGAGCAAACAGGAUUAGAAACCCUAGUAGUCC